rnacentral:rRNA from 1 species
UACAGAGGUCCCAAGCGUUGUUCGGAUUCACUGGGCGUAAAGGGUGCGUAGGUGGUUGGGUAAGUCUAAUGUGAAAUCUCCGAGCCUAACUCGGAAACUGCAUCGGAUACUAUCUGGCUAGAGGAUUGGAGGGGGGACUGGAAUACUUGGUGUAGCAGUGAAAUGCGUAGAUAUCAAGUGGAACACCAGUGGCGAAGGCGAGUCCCUGGACAAUUCCUGACACUGAGGCACGAAAGCUAGGGGAGCAAACAGG